rnacentral:rRNA from 1 species
CCUACGGGAGGCAGCAGUGAGGAAUAUUGGUCAAUGGGCGCGAGCCUGAACCAGCCAAGUAGCGUGAGGGAUGACUGCCCUACGGGUUGUAAACUUCUUUUGUAAAGGAAUAAAGUGCGUCACGUGUGCCUUUUUGUAUGUACUUUAUGAAUAAGGAUCGGCUAACUCCGUGCCAGCAGCCGCGGUAAUCCGGUGGGUCCGAGCGUUAUCCGGAUUUAUUGGGUUUAAAAGGUGCGUAGAUGGGUUGGUCAGUCAGUUGUGAAAGUUGGCGGCUCAACCGUUGAAUUGCAAUUGAUACGGGCAGACUGGAGUGCAGUUGAGGUGGGCGGAAUUCGUGGUGUAGCGGUGAAAUGCGGAGAUAUCACGAAGAACUCCGAUUGCGAAGGCAGCAUAC